rnacentral:rRNA from 1 species
CCAGACUCCUACGGGAGGCAGCAGUAGGGAAUUUUGCGCAAUGGGCGAAAGCCUGACGCAGCAACGCCGCGUGAUCGAGACGCCCUUCGGGGUGUAAAGAUCUGUCAGUGGGGACGAAACUUGACGGUACCCACAGAGGAAGCACCGGCUAACUACGUGCCAGCAGCCGCGGUAAUACGUAGGGGGCAAGCGUUAUCCGGAUUUACUGGGUGUAAAGGGAGCGUAGACGGCAAUGCAAGUCUGGAGUGAAAGCCCAAGGCCCAACCAUGGGACUGCUCUGGAAACUGUGUAGCUUGAGUGCAGGAGGGGUAAGCGGAAUUCCUAGUGUAGCGGUGAAAUGCGUAGAUAUUAGGAGGAACACCGGUGGCGAAGGCGGCUUACUGGACUGCAACUGACGUUGAGGCUCGAGGGCGUGGGGAGCAAACAGGAUUAGAUCCCCGCGUA